rnacentral:rRNA from 1 species
UACGUAGGGGGCUAGCGUUGUCCGGAAUCAUUGGGCGUAAAGAGCGCGUAGGCGGCCAGAUAAGUCCGGUGUGAAAGUCACAGGCUCAACCUGUGAAUGCCGCUGGAAACCGUCUGGCUAGAGUCCGGAAGAGGAGAGUGGAAUUCCUGGUGUAGCGGUGAAAUGCGCAGAUAUCAGGAAGAACACCUAUGGCGAAGGCAGCCUCUCGUGGGACGGUACUGACGCUGAGACGCGAAAGCGUGGGGAGCGAACAGG